AUGGCCAACAGGACUUUCAUCUUCCAGUUCCAGGAAAUAGCCAGCUUUGUGUCACUGUGGUGGAUCUUCGGAGCAGGGACCCAGCUGACCGUCACUGGUCAGCCAGCAUCGCCUCCCACAGUGAACGUCUUCCCUCCAUCGCAAGAAGAGUUGCGAAGUACAAACAAGGCCACCUUGGCAUGUUUGGUGGAUGCCUUCAUGCCAUCUGCAAUCCAGGUCCGCUGGCUGGGUGAUGGCUCCCCAAUCUCUAGAGGUGUGGAGACAACCAAGCCGACAAAGCACAACGACAAGUUCAUGCUCAGCAGUUACCUGACCAUGGAAUCUUCAGAAUGGGAGAAGCAUAAUGAGUACACCUGCAAGGUGACACACGAAGGGUCCGACUACCCAAAGACCGUGAGCCGUUCGCAGUGUUCUUAGCCCUCUGCGGUCUGCAGGGCUUUGCUGCAUCCUGAAUCUCAGUUGUGUAAGGAGGAAAAUUACAGAUGGGCCAUGCAACCUGCUCUUUCCCUUUUUUCCGCCCUCCCCAGUUUUCCUUCUCUACUCCCCCCAAUUUCCAAAAUCUUUCCCUCCCCCCACCCCGCUUCAUAGGCUUCCUUGUUAGUUUUAAUGAAUAAUAAAAGCAGAAUCGUGCAAUUUUGCUGUCCCUGUAUAGAUUCUCUCCAGUGGCAAUUUAAAAAAAAGAUUGUUAGAGGACAUCUGUCAGUCAAUAAAACAAUGCUUU